AUGGAGAGUCCAAAACAGAAUAAUGUCAGCUUCUUUCAGAUGCCACUUCACUAUCCAAGAUACACAGAGAAAGACUACCAAGACAUGCCUGAAUGGAAGCUUGAUAGUCUCCUUAAGGAGUAUGGUUUGCCUACAAAUGGUGAUUUGGCUUUCAAAAGAGACUUUGCUAUGGGUGCUUUUCUUUGGCCUAAGUUCUCUCUUAACUCAAAGUCUUGA